rnacentral:tRNA from 1 species
GAUUGUAUAGCUCAGUAUUAGAAUGUGUGCUUAGCAUGCACAAGGUCCUGGGUUCAAAUCCCCAGUACCUCCA